ACCAGGAGGGCGGUGCCGC
rnacentral:misc_RNA from 1 species